UACGGGGGGGGCAAGCGUUGUUCGGAAUUACUGGGCGUAAAGGGCUCGUAGGCGGCCAACUAAGUCGGACGUGAAAUCCCCAGGCUCAACCUGGGAACUGCGUCCGAUACUGGAUGGCUUGAAUCCGGGAGAGGGAUGCAGAAUUCCAGGUGUAGCGGUGAAAUGCGUAGAUAUCUGGAGGAACACCGGUGGCGAAGGCGGCAUCCUGGACCGAUAUUGACGCUGAGGAGCGAAAGCCAGGGGAGCAAACGGG
rnacentral:rRNA from 1 species